ACUCCUACGGGAGGCAGCAGUAGGGAAUCUUCCGCAAUGGGCGAAAGUCUGACGGAGCAACGCCGCGUGAGUGAUGAAGGUUUUCGGAUCGUAAAGCUCUGUUGCCAGGGAAGAACGCUUAUGAGAGUAACUGCUCAUGAGGUGACGGUACCUGAGAAGAAAGCCCCGGCUAACUACGUGCCAGCAGCCGCGGUAAU
rnacentral:rRNA from 1 species